UACCUCACUUAUGAAAUGUAGAACAAAGUCAAUCUAUUCAGUUUGAUUUCUAAAAGGUUUUACAUAUGUGUUGCUGCUGAUAGUGUGUGUGUGUGUGUGUGUGUGUGUUUGUAUGUGUGUGUAUGUGUGUUUGUGUGUGUGUGUAUGUUUGAGAACAAUUUUCAGCAGUCAAUUUAUCUUUCUACCAUGUGGGUCCUGACAAAAAUCAAAUCUUAAGAUUUGGGAGUAAGCACCAUUAUCCACCAUUAUUCCAGUUUUUGGAACUGAGUUCAUAAUUAAGAGGGGUGCUUGUGGGCAUUCUUAUUGUGCCACUAAUUGUGAAAUUCUUGGAACGGUGCAAUGAAGACCAGAGGGAAAGCAUUUGCCAAGAAUGUUUUCAUUAAUCAAGAAAGAAAUUCGGAGGUUCGCAGAUGAUCAGAAAGCAUCUUAGUUCCGACCACAAACAAUGCCAACUGGAGAUGCAGUGGUGUUAUUCCCAUGACCCUCCCAGGCAGCUUCCUGGAAACCUAAGUGUGUGGGUUUGGGAGGAGUAGGGGUGCAAAGCUGAAACUUAAAGGAAUUAAUGGAAGGGCACCACUAGGAGUGGAGCCUGCAGCUUAAUUUGACUCAACAUGGGAGACCUCACCUGGACCAGAUACGGACAGGAUUGACAGAUUGAUAGCUCUUUCUUGAAUCCAUGGGUGGUGGUGCAUGGCCAUUCUUAUUUGAUGGAGGGAUUUGUCUGGUUAAUUCCAAUAAGGAAGGAGACUCUGGCAUGCUAACUAGUUAAGUGACCCCGGAGUGGUCAGCAU
rnacentral:ncRNA from 1 species